UUGGUGUUACUGCGAAGGGGGGACGGAGAAGGCUAUGUUGGCCGGGCGACGGUUGUCCCGGUUUAAGCGUGUAGGUGUGUGUUCCAGGUAAAUCCGGUUCACUUUAACACUGAGGCGUGACGACGAGGCACUACGGUGCUGAAGCAACAAAUGCCCUGCUUCCAGGAAAAGCCUCUAAGCAUCAGGUAACAUCAAAUCGUACCCCAAACCGACACAGGUGGUCAGGUAGAGAAUACCAAGGCGCUUGAGAGAACUCGGGUGAAGGAACUAGGCAAAAUGGUGCCGUAACUUCGGGAGAAGGCACGCUGACACGUAGGUGAAGUGAUUUACUCACGGAGCUGAAGUCAGUCGAAGAUACCAGCUGGCUGCAACUGUUUAUUAAAAACACAGCACUGUGCAAACACGAAAGUGGACGUAUACGGUGUGACGCCUGCCCGGUGCCGGAAGGUUAAUUGAUGGGGUCAGCGCAAGCGAAGCUCCUGAUCGAAGCCCCGGUAAACGGCGGCCGUAACUAUAACGGUCCUAAGGUAGCGAAAUUCCUUGUCGGGUAAGUUCCGACCUGCACGAAUGGCGUAAUGAUGGCCAGGCUGUCUCCACCCGAGACUCAGUGAAAUUGAACUCGCUGUGAAGAUGCAGUGUACCCGCGGCAAGACGGAAAGACCCCGUGAACCUUUACUAUAGCUUGACACUGAACAUUGAGCCUUGAUGUGUAGGAUAGGUGGGAGGCUUUGAAGCGUGGACGCCAGUCUGCGUGGAGCCGACCUUGAAAUACCACCCUUUAAUGUUUGAUGUUCUAACGUGGACCCGUGAUCCGGGUUGCGGACAGUGUCUGGUGGGUAGUUUGACUGGGGCGGUCUCCUCCUAAAGAGUAACGGAGGAGCACGAAGGUUGGCUAAUCCUGGUCGGACAUCAGGAGGUUAGUGCAAUGGCAUAAGCCAGCUUGACUGCGAGCGUGACGGCGCGAGCAGGUGCGAAAGCAGGUCAUAGUGAUCCGGUGGUUCUGAAUGGAAGGGCCAUCGCUCAACGGAUAAAAGGUACUCCGGGGAUAACAGGCUGAUACCGCCCAAGAGUUCAUAUCGACGGCGGUGUUUGGCACCUCGAUGUCGGCUCAUCACAUCCUGGGGCUGAAGUAGGUCCCAAGGGUAUGGCUGUUCGCCAUUUAAAGUGGUACGCGAGCUGGGUUUAGAACGUCGUGAGACAGUUCGGUCCCUAUCUGCCGUGGGCGCUGGAGAACUGAGGGGGGCUGCUCCUAGUACGAGAGGACCGGAGUGGACGCAUCACUGGUGUUCGGGUUGUCAUGCCAAUGGCACUGCCCGGUAGCUAAAUGCGGAAGAGAUAAGUGCUGAAAGCAUCUAAGCACGAAACUUGCCCCGAGAUGAGUUCUCCCUGAGACUUAAAGUCUCCUGAAGGAACGUUGAAGACGACGACGUUGAUAGGCCGGGUGUGUAAGCGCAGCGAUGCGUUGAGCUAACCGGUACUAAUGAACCGUGAGGCUUAACCUUAC
rnacentral:rRNA from 1 species